rnacentral:rRNA from 1 species
AGCGACAGGCCUAACAACAUGCAAGUCGAGGGGCGAGCACAAGGAGCAAUCUGAGGUGGCGACCGGCGCACGGGUGAGUAACACGUAUGCAACCUGCCUGUAAGCGGGGAAUAACCCGUUGAAAGACGGACUAAUACCGCAUAAUACUAAAUUACUGCAUGGUAAUUUAUUUAAACAUUUAUGGCUUACAGAUGGGCAUGCGCAUGAUUAGCUAGUUGGAGAGGUAACGGCUCCCCAAGGCAACGAUCAUUAGGGGUUCUGAGAGGAAGGUCCCCCCACACUGGUACUGAGACACGGACCAGACUCCUACGGGAGGCAGCAGUGAGGAAUAUUGGUCAAUGGACGAGAGUCUGAACCAGCCAAGUCGCGUGCAGGAAGAAUGUCCUAUGGAUUGUAAACUGCUUUUGCAGGGGAAUAAAGUGCAUCACGUGUGAUGUUUUGUAUGUACUCUGCGAAUAAGGAUCGGCUAACUCCGUGCCAGCAGCCGC